rnacentral:lncRNA from 1 species
AAUCCCCUUGGGCUUUCUUUAGCUUUAAUUUACAUAAACACAGGGAUCAUAUGAAUAUUCAGUGAGUGGCUUUGCAUUAAGUAAGUGCCCUUAAUCAGCUUUUCAGUUCAGUUUUAUUGGUUGCACGCACAGUCAGUUAUUUCAUCCAGAAAAUCUGAAGCCCCUACAAACUAACCAGAGAAGGAGGAUCAUGUCACAGCAGAUCCCCCGGGUCUGUUUCGCAUCCUCCCAAGAAGGCAGCUUCCAUACUUGCAUCUCAGUCAGUGCCCACCCUCUGGCUCCCUUGGACCAGGUAAAGAUGCAGUGCUAAAUCCAGGCCAUGCAAGUCUGUUGUGUUCUCCUAUUGCUGUUGACCUGGCCAUGUCUGAUUAGAUGAUCUCACAGAUGAAUGAUCACUCAUGUGUGUUUACUCCUUCGCCAUUUUGUGGAGGAUUAGGGUGGGGUAGAACCAGCUGGAUUCAUGUCCAUAACUAAAAAAAAUCAGAUUCCACCUCCCUCUUACCAGCACAACUGGGGCCUGCACACCUUCCAAAUACCAUAGGCCCCUUUCCCGACUGUGAUGAGAAGUUACAAGAAAAGAACACAGAGAAUACCUUAAAACAGAAAAUGGGAGGUGAAGUAGAGUGAAGAAUUAAGGCAAAAGACAGGAUGGAGUCUGCUGAAUAGCUCUUCCCACUUGAAAUCUGGAGACAGAAUUAGGACAACCAAAAGAAGAGUGAAGAGAAGAAGUCUCAGGGCCUGGAGUCCAAUUGCAUGAUUUCUAAUCCUGGAUUUACCAGUCUAGGUAAAUUAGAACCAAUUACUAAACCUCAACUGAAUAAAUAGAGACAAUAGUAAUUCUGCUUUAGGUAGCCUUGAAGAUGAAAUGACAUAAUAUAUUUCUUCCUAAGAGACAGAGCCACCAGAGAAGAGUCUGCUCCCACAGUAAUGGCCAGGUUUUGCUCUGUUUCAAAGGUGACUUCAUGUCACAAGGCCACAAUAAAUCAAUCCACACACACUGUUGGGACCAAGGAGUGACUUUCAAGUCAAAUUCAUUGGUAGCCAUCGGCUGACGAGAAUUCUCAUCCUGAGGUUCAGGGACUCCUCCCACAACCAAGCCUUCAAAACCCUUAUGGUAUUAAUAGGAGUAUUAACUUUUAACUUACUUCCAAGGACAUUCAGAAUGUUAACAAAUGUGCCUGCCGUUAACUCAAAAGGCAAAUUAACUAUGUCACUACAUCCGGUACCAAAGUGUGGACCUAGUACAUGCGUAGAGCAGUCUGCCCCCCUGUCAUG